rnacentral:piRNA from 1 species
UAAUUGUCUUUUUCACAAAUGUUGUUGGUGU